rnacentral:rRNA from 1 species
AACGACGCUUGCGGCGUGCUAACACAUGCAAGUCGAACGAGAAAAUCUUGCUUGCAGAUGAGUAAAGGGCGCACGGGUGAGUAACGCGUGGGUAAUCUACCUUUGGGACAGGGAUAACACUUCGAAAGGGGUGCUAAUACCUGACACGAUGCAGACUUCAAAAGGAGAUUGCAUGAAAGGUGACCUCUUCCUUGAAAGUUGCCGCUCGAAGAUGAGCCCGCGUCCCAUUAGCUUGUUGGUGGGGUAAUGGCCUACCAAGGCUCAGAUGGGUAGCUGGUCUGAGAGGAUGAUCAGCCACACUGGAACUGAGACACGGUCCAGACUCCUACGGGAGGCAGCAGUGGGGAAUAUUGCGCAAUGGGGGAAACCCUGACGCAGCAACGCCGCGUGAGUGAUGAAGGCCUUCGGGUCGUAAAGCUCUGUCAGGUGGGAAGAACAAGGAAAUUCCCAAUAAGGGUUUCCUUUGACGGUACCACCAGAGGAAGCACCGGCUAACUCCGUGCCAGCAGCCGCGGUAAUACGGAGGGUGCAAGCGUUGUUCGGAAUCACUGGGCGUAAAGCGCGUGUAGGCGGCCUUUUAAGUCAGAUGUGAAAGCCCUCGGCUCAACCAAGGAACUGCAUCUGAAACUAUCAGGCUUGAGUACGGGAGAGGAGAGUGGAAUUCCCGGUGUAGAGGUGAAAUUCGUAGAUAUCGGGAAGAACACCGGUGGCGAAGGCGGCUCUCUGGACCGAUACUGACGCUGAGACGCGAAAGCGUGGGGAGCAAACAGGAUUAGAUACCCUGGUAGUCCACGCUGUAAACGAUGGGCACUAGGUGUGGAGGGUAUUGACCCCUUCUGUGCCGCAGCUAACGCAUUAAGUGCCCCGCCUGGGAAGUACGGCCGCAAGGCUAAAACUCAAAGAAUUGAACGG